CCUACGGGUGGCAGCAGUGAGGAAUAUUGGUCAAUGGGCGAGAGCCUGAACCAGCCAAGUCGCGUGAAGGAGUACUGCCCAAUGGGUUGUAAACCUCUUUUGUCGGGGAGCAAAAGCCGGACGUGUCCGGCUGUGAGAGUACCCGAAGAAAAAGCAUCGGCUAACUCCGUGCCAGCAGCCGCGGUAACACGGGGGAUGCGAGCGGUACACGGAUUUAUUGGGGUUAAAGGGUGCGCAGGCGGAUUUUUAAGUCAGCGGUCAAAUCGUGGGGCUCAACCCCAUCCAGCCGUGGAAACUGGGGAUCUAGAGUGUGCGAGAGGUAUGCGGAAUGCGUGGUGUAGCGGUGAAAUGCAUAGAUAUCACGCAGAACCCCGAUUGCGAAGGCAGCAUACCGGUGCACAACUGACGCUCAGGCACGAAAGCGUGGGUAUCGAACAGGAUUAGAUACCCGUGUAGUC
rnacentral:rRNA from 1 species